UGCCAGCCGCCGCGGUAACACGGGGGGCGCAAGCGUUAUUCGGAAUUAUUGGGCGUAAAGGGCGCGUAGGCGGUCUUAUCGGUCAGAUGUGAAAGCCCGGGGCUCAACCCCGGACGUGCAUUUGAAACAGUAAGACUUGAGUAUGGGAGAGGAAAGCGGAAUUCCUGGUGUAGAGGUGAAAUUCGUAGAUAUCAGGAGGAACACCGAUGGCGAAGGCAGCUUUCUGGACCAAUACUGACGCUGAGGCGCGAAGGCGUGGGUAGCGAACAGGAUUAGAUA
rnacentral:rRNA from 1 species